GGUCUGUUCCCUGGAGAUGGGAUUGGUUGGUUUGCCCAUCCUCUUUAGGAGAUAAAGAAGAAGAAAGGCAUCAAAGAGGAGGUGCAGCUGACCAGCAAGCAGAAGGAGAUGCUGCAGGCCCAGCUAGACAGGGAGGCGCAGGUCCGGAGGCGGCUGCAGGAGCUGGAUGGGGAGCUGGAGGCGGCGCUUGGACUGCUGGACAUCAUCCUGGCCAAGAACCCGUCCGGCCUGACCCAGUACAUCCCCGUUUUGGUCGACUCUUUUCUGCCCUUGCUGAAGUCUCCCCUGGCUGCUCCCAGGAUCAAGAACCCCUUCUUGUCCUUGGCUGCCUGUGUCAUGCCCUCUAGGCUCAAGGCUUUGGGCACUUUGGUGAGCCACGUGACCCUGCGCCUGCUGAAGCCAGAGUGUGCCCUGGAUAAGUCCUGGUGCCAGGAAGAGCUGUCGGUGGCUGUGAAGAGGGCGGUGACGCUGCUGCACACCCACACCAUCACCAGCAGGGUGGGCAAGGGGGAGCCAGGUGCUGCGCCCUUGUCCGCGCCAGCCUUCUCCUUAGUCUUCCCGUUUCUGAAGAUGGUGCUGACGGAGAUGCCCCACC
rnacentral:sRNA from 1 species